CAGAGGACCUGUGUGUCUGCCUGUUAAGGCCACAGGGUUUUUGUAGGCACAAGAUGGGGGCGUGGCAGGCCACGGUGAUCUUGGGAAAUGCAACAUUUGGGCAAGAAAACAAAAAUGCCUGUCCUCACCUAGGUCCGUGGGGGUGGAGCCCUAGCCAGGGACCAUGCCCUCCUCUAACCCAUACUUCCCUUCCCCCUUCCGUAUCAUUUAAAGGGACCACGCUCUUCCCUUCCAGCAGUUCCCUUCCUUAUCACUAGGACCCCAAGACCUGGGAACCAGCCUGGGUGGGGGUCAGUGGUGGAUGUGGCCCCAAAAGCAGCUUAGGGGGUCCCUUCCUUGUGGCUGCUUCUUGACUGGAUGGAGCAGUGUUCAGGCCUUUCCCCUGUGAUGUUUUCUCCUAAUAACGUCACAGGCCUUUCUCAUGUGACUUUAUUACAGCGGCUGGAGCGUCCCUGAGAGGCCUGACCCAGGUGUGGGGGGUGCAGCCAGACCGGGGUGCUCCUGGGGUGCAGAGGAUUCGUGGCAGCACGGAGAGUCCGAGGGAAAGGUGACUUUGGAAAGGCAAGUGCCAGGUUACUAGGACCGUGUAUAUUCACUUCUGGCAGUGAAAUGACGGUUUCAGACACUACGACGGAGCUUCCCGAGUAGGAUACAAAGAAAGCCUGCAGCUGCCAGGUCCACGGGCUGAUAGCCCCACCUCUACGGAGGAGACUACACGGCGCAUGCUCGAAGGGCGUGACAAGGGGCGGGGCGAGAAGGAAGGGGCGGGGCUGAGGGGAAGCGUGGGGCAGAAGAAAGGGGCCGUGUGUGCCCGCAUACUGGAGGAUCAAUAUUAUCAUGGCAACCCUGAGGAGGCUGUGAGAGUCUCUGGGGUCCUUGCCGGCCUGCAGAAAAUCAAGCUUUGAGCGGGAAGCUUCGAGGAGACACAGUGUCACAAUUACAAGGAUCCAGCAUUUGGAGGCAAACAUGAAGCUCCAUCCUCUCCAAUUCCGGGGCAGCCGUGUGGAGAUGAUCAAAAUGCUUCAUCUUCAAAACUUUCAAAGGAAGAGUUAAUACAGACUAUGGAUCGUGUACAUCGAGAAAUUGCAAAAGUAGAACAGCAGAUCCUUAAACUGAAAAAGAAACAAGUAGAAGUCUUUGCCUAAUAUAUUCUAAGAAUGUAUUUUUUUCUCCCUACCGAAGAUAUUUUUGAGUUUUCCAUAUUUUGAAACUUUACAUAAAAGGAAUCAUUCCUUAUAUAUUCUGACUUGCUGUUUUUGCUACCAUUGUGGUUUUCUUACUUUCAUUCAUUUUCCUUGCUGCACUGUCCGAUUAUAUGGUUGUAGAGAGUGAAAUUUGUUUGUCCAUUCUAUUUUUGAUUUUUUUUUUAUAAUCCAUACAAUGGUGCUGGUUUUUGGUUCACAUGCAGAGAUUUUCCACGGCAUGUGCCCAGGAAUGGCAGUGCUUGGCCCAAGAUUAUGCACAGUGAACUAUUUAAUAGAUGAUACCAAAUUUGCUAAGAAGUAACACCUUUUUACAUUCCCACUGGCAGCUUAUGUGGGUACUGGUUUGUGCACAUUCUUGCCUUUACUUGAUAUCAUUUUUUCAGUUGAAUAUGAAAUAGUCUUCUGUGGUUUGGAAGGAGGCUGAGCUUAUUUUCAUUUAUCUGUGGGUUAUUUGCGUUCCUUAUAUGCAUUGUUCAAGUCUUUUGUCUAUAGUCUCCUAUUUCGUCACUGAAACUUUUAAGAUUUCCUGAAGUCCCUUGUCACAUAUGUGUAUAGAAGAUUUGCCUAGUUUGAGGCCUGUCACUUCACUUUUAGCCCAGUAUCCACUCUUAAGUGUACACUAAGUGCAUUUUUUUUUCUAGAUUUGGAGUCUCACUGUGUCACCCAGGCUGGAGUGCAGUGGUGUGACCUUGGCUCACUGCAACCUCUGUCUCCCACGUUCAAGCGAUUCUCCUGCAACAGCCUCCCGAGUAGCUGGGACUGCAGGCGCUUUAAGUGCUUUUAAUGUAUUCAUAAAGUUGUACAGCUAUCACCACUCUCUAACUCUAGAACAUGUUUAUCAUUUCAAAAAGAAACUCCGUACUUACUAGCAGUUACUCCCCAUUUCCCCAUUUCCCCAGCCCCUGGCAACCACUAAUCUAUUUUCUGUCUCUAUGGACUAGCAUAUGCCAAAUAUCAGAAAAAACAGAAUCAUAUGUGACCUUUUGUGUUUGGCUUCAUUUAUUUAGCAUGUUGUCCUGAUUCAUCCAUGUCGUAUCUUGUGUCAGCACUUCAUUGCUUUAUACGCCUGAAUCCCAUUGCAUGAGUAUACUAUGUUUUGUUUAUCCAUUCAUUAGUUGAUGGAUAUUUGGGUUGUAUUCAUUUUUUGACUAUGAUUAAUAAUGUACUGUGGUGAGAUUCAUGUAAUCGUUUUUGUGUGGACGUAUUUUUCCAAUUUUCUUUAUAUAUCUAGGAGUGGGCAUAUGGUAAAUCUAUGUUUAAAUUUUUGAAAAACUUCAAAACUGUUUUCCGAAGUCUCUGUACCAUUUUAUAUUAUUACCAGCAGUGUAUGGAGGUUCAAUUUUUUCCUACCUCCUUGCCAACAUCUGUUAUUUUCCUUUUUUUAAAAAAAUAUAGCCAUCCUUGUAGAUGUGAAGUGGUAUCUAGUUGUAGUUUUCACUUGCAUAUCCUUAAUGACUAAUGAUGUUGAGCAUCCUUUCGUGUGCUGAUUGGCCAUUUGUAUAUCUUUUUAGAGAAAUGUUCAUUUAGACUGUUUGCUCAUUUAUUUGGGUUGUCUUUUUGUUAUUCUAAGAAUUCUUUAUAUAUUCUGGACAUUAGUUCCUCAUCAGAUGUAUGACUUAAUAGAUAUUUUCUCUCAUUCUGUGGGUUCUUUUCACUUUCCUGAUGGUAUCCUUUGAUGUACAAAAGUUUUGAAUUUUGUUAAAGUCCAGUUUGUUUUUUCCUUUUGUCACUCUUGCAUUUGGUGUUGUAUCUAAGACCCGUUGCCUAAUUCAUGGUCACAGAUUUAUACCUAUGUUUUCUUCUACAAAUUUUAUAGUUUUACCCCUUAUAUUUGGGUCUUUGAUCCUGAUAAUGUUUUUUUGGUGAACAGAAUUUGUUUAGGUUUUAUAUGAAAACCCACUGGGGCUAUUAAGGUAGUCUUACUAUAUUAUCUUUAGAAGUUUUAUGGUUUUGCUUCUCAUCUUAUUCUUAAUCCACUGGAAACUACAUGUUGUAUAGUCAGUGUUCAUUUAUAUUUACUCACAUAUUUGUCUUCUUACUUACUCACCAUUUCUUCUCGCAACUCAAGUCUUCCAUCUAGGGGAACACCCUUCUACUGAAGAACAUCUCUUAGAAUUUCCUUUAGUGAAGGUCUUUCAGUUAGAAAAUUCAGUAUUUGUUUGGUUUUUAUGACAAAUAUUGUCUUAUAUUUGGCCUGUUUAUUAAAACAUAUAUUAAUUUCAUAUGUGAUUAUUUUUUCUUAGUACAUUGUCUUCUUGCUUCCAUUUUUAAGACAUUAGCUCUUGGUCUAAAUCCAUAUUCUUUCAUGGAUGAUGUGAAUUUUCUCUCUGCUUGUUUUCAAUAUAUUCUUUUCUUCAGGGUUCCGUUAUUUUUAUGAUGAUACAUUUAGGUGAUUUUUUUUCCCUUUUAAAUUGAGCUUCCUGAAUAUGAAGGGUGGAGUUUUUCAUCACUUUGGGAAAAUUCCAAGCCGUUACCUUUUUUACGAAACCUUUCUAACCGUUUAUUGUUCUACUUAUGAAAUCCUGUUAGUUGUAAUAUCUUAUCACUCUUGUCUUCCAUUUCUCUUGUUUCUUUCUUAUUUUUUACUUCUUUGGGUUUCAUUCUGAGCAAUUUCUUCAACCUGUCUUCCAGUUUACAUUUUCCUUUUCAAUUAUAUGUAAUCUGCUGUCAAAUCUGUCUUCAAUUUCAACAAUUAUGUUUCUAUUUCUGGAAUUUCUGUUUGGCUCCUUCUCAAAUCUGCCUGGUCAUUUUUUAAAAUGUUUUUUUGCUUUCAUUGAGUUGUAUUAAAUUUUUAAUAUAUGCCCAACAAUUCUAAUUAAGUAUUGGUUUGAUUUUGCUGAGUCUGUUUUCUUUUUUUUUGUCUUUAUUUUCUUUACUUGUACAAUGGUAAUAAUCUAGUAAUAACACCAACUAAAUCACAUGAUUGUUUUAUGAAUUGAGAUAAUGAAUAUAUUCAUUAUCUCAUAAUAUGUGGUACAUAGUAAAUGCACAUGCAAUCCAUUAUAAUAAUUAGAAAUAAUGAAAUAUAAUGUAUGAUUAUUAUGAAAUGUACCAGAACCACAAAUUUUAUUGAGUGAUAUAAAAGACAACUAGAGAAAACAAAGAAAUAUGCCAUAGCUGGAUGGAAACAGUAAUAAUAAUGUUGUGUGUUCAUCUUUGACUAAAUCAUGUCUCAUACAAUUUCAAUAAAAUUCCAAUUAAAUUUAUUUUUAAAACAUGGCAAA